UUCCUCUCUCCUCGCUUCUUUUUUCUCUCUCCCUCCGUCUUCGCGUGCCCUAGCUCUUUCUCUCUGCAAUUGCGGCGUGACCUAGCCGCUUCAUCUCUGUGAUCGAUUGAUGGAUAAUCAGUUUCACUGAGCUUGCGGCGUGCAGCAAAGAACUAGUGCCACUGGUGGAUCAUCUUGGAGAGAUUCUUGGCAGUAAUCAUGUUAGGAGGAGUAAGUUAUGGAAUAAUGGAAGUUGGUUUGUGGUUCUGGUGCUGAUAGAGCACGAGAGGAAGAGGCUCUGCUGCGUGAUGGAGUGCCAGAAGCCGUUCGUUGAUGAGUGUAUGCGCAAACUGCACAGAAUGAGGGUCUCUCUCUGAGUGGUGGUGCAGGUCUUCUUCUCUGAGCAGUUUAAGAUAAGCAACGUGGUUGCCAUGAAAGAUGGCGGGGAGUCACUGUACCAGCCCAUGGUGCCAAACCGGAAGACAUUUUUGGAGGGAACUUCUCAAUCAUUUCAAGAAGGAUAGAUAACGGCAAAGGAGGACAUCAGCACUCUCAAGUUCAAGCUGGAGACUGUCAGAACGACAUGGAGAUGUUGCAGCGCGACUUCAACAAGUUGGACAAGCCCAAGCAGACGUCGGCAUGAACAUCCGGAUGGAAGAAAUUCAGCAAGCUCACGAAGAUGGCAGACGGCAAUGACAAUGGAUCCCAGCCGCCAACUGCUAGAAGAUGGAGAGAAACUCCAUUUCUUGAAUUGCUUUUGGUCGUUGCUAGGUGCUGCUGUUGUUUCUACGUGUGUUUUCUGUUUAGACUAGUUAUUUAAAAAAUUUGAAUUUUAAAUUGAAUUCUAGUUCAAUUCCAAUUCAUUUGUUUUGAGUUACUACCAAACAAAGGAUUUGGAAUUAUAAUACAAUUCCGUAUCAAUUCUUUAAUUAUACCAAA